CCCUGGUGAGAGUGGAGCAAAGGGAUGGUCUCUCGGCAGGAGCUGAGACUUCCUUCCAUUUCCUUAACCUUAAGCUGCACCAGGCAGCACAGUGCCUGGCCCACGGGUGGUCCUUGUAUCAACCCAGGGUAGUGACCAUCUCCCCUCCUGCAAUCCUCCUAGCAUCUAAUGCGGUACUUUGAACGACAUGCAUGCCUGUCAAAGUUGAUCCCCUGGGCUGAGGUAGAAGAGAGAGGGGCAGGAAGAGAGAGGAAAAGCAGGGCAGCCAGUGGUGGUCCCAAAGGACUUGCCAACAUCUUCCCUUUCCACAAGUGUAAUGAUGCACUCAUGUGAUUGGUUUAAUUCAAUAACUCUUUAAGACGAAAGAGCUAUCAAGGAUUAUAGCAUUGUUUUUUUUACUGUGAAAGGUCUUAAGAAUUUAAAUGUCCAUCUAUGGACUAUCGUGCUGUUGAGGUGUGGUCGCUGAUGGAAAGAAGUUAAUAAUUUGCAAUUUCAUUCAAAAGGAAAUCGAUGCUAGUCACCAUGUUCUUAAUCAUCCCGUCAAUGUAAAAACAUUAAUAAAAGGUAGGGAUAGGAAGCCAAGAACUACGAGACAUCUGAGGAAACCCGACUGUUGCAACAGGAACACAGAUGAGCACUUUGGAAGCUAAGCCCAGAGGAAAGGAUCUAUGCUGCUGGAGCAAGCACUCACAAAAUUCUAGAGGGAAGAUACUGCGCACAUGGAACAGUGCUGAGGAGAGAGACAUUUGGAUGCACAGUUGUUGAUUAAGUUUUAGUGCCCCAUGUGGAAAACAAAGUAUCAAUCUGUAAUCGACCCCAAACGAGGAAAACGCGGCAAGUAUUGGGGAGGAAUAAGCUGGCACAAAUAUGAACUGAAAAAUUCAUACUGUGCAAAAAAAAGUACUUAAACCUAGGGCUAAAAAAAAAAUCAAACCUUGGCUUCCCUAACCAACAGGAAAUAAUACAGAAGGCUGGGAGAGGCGGAUCAGUGGGUAGAGCAAGCAGCUCUACCCACUGACAGCCUGAGUUCCAUCCCUAGCAUCCAUGUAAAGAUAGAGAUAUCUUCCAAUCUUCCGCAAGCCCAGAGCUGCUGCACACAUACAAAAUAAUAGUAAACAUGAUCAAUAUUUCGUAAAAUGACUGCAGACAUAAAUCAUACUCUUGGAUGGAAUGUCAGUAUUGAAAAAUUGUCAGUUCUCCUUCAAUUGAUCUCUAAAACAAUAAGAUCUCAAUUAACAGUGCGAUUUUUUUUUUUUUUUUUUUUUUUUGGUAUGUGUGUGUGAAACUUGAUGAGCUGAUUUCUGUAGCUCAUCUGGAGGAGACAGGUGGCAAGAUUUCCACUGAGCUAAUGUUUCAGUGAGCCAACGGAACAGACCCGGUAAGUUCAGUCUAGGUCAUGCCCUGUCGGUAAAAAACAAUAAAGUCCCUUAGCAGCUAUAGAUCCUAUGAGGACUGAAUCUCCCUAACACCUUACCUGUCUUAAACCCAGUGUUUCUGGUGGGUUUUAAACAUGCUGCAGACUGAGAGCCUUCCAGCUUUUACUCUCCUGACCUCUCAGUGCAUGGCAGUGACUCUCCAAACACCAUCUGUGCUCACCAGACUGAGGAACUGUUUGUCUGCCUGCGGGACUGCCCAUUUCCCCUUCUGCUCCUUGCCUGCAGCCCGAUGUGCAGCAGAGGUAGCCUGGGCCUCUGAUAACAAUCCUGCUGAGGCUAGCACAUACAGUUCCCGAACAAGGGUAGGCCAGGCUCUGGAAAUGGAAUGACUGAGACCUGAGAGGAGGAGGGGAAUAAGACCAGAGAUGAGAAAAAGAGCUUACCAGGAAACUAGGCUGGGGGUGGGGUAGGAGGGACUGCUGAGUGGAAAAGAAGCUGGAACGGGGCUCAGAACAUCUUAAGGCCAGUAAAGGGAAUGGGAGGAGGUAAGAACUAAACAUACAAAGAGUUUGAGUCCUAAGUGUGAGAAAUACAUAUAUUAAGUAUAUAUUAGAUAUAAUAUAUAUCUUUUAUUAUAUAAUAUAUAAAUAUGUAAUAUAUAUUAUAAAUAUCAUAUAAUAAAGGUAAAUGUAUGGAUUCAUCACAGAGCGGGCCAACUGAAUAAUCAAAUGCUGUAAUGGGCCCCAGAGUGUUGUGGGGAACAAGGAAACGACAUGGUCAUAGCUGUAUGACGUAGAGCAAGUUUCUUUCCCCCUACAUUUGACUCUUUAGUCUGGGUAGAAGCACAUGAGUGCAGAGAAGUAGCAUUCUCAGCCCUCUUCGUCCCCUGUUCAGUGAAUUCGAAUUUCUUUCUCCAUCCAUCGAAACACAUCACCCGCACUCUCUCCCUACACAGAGGACGGACCAAAUGAACCUGGUUUGCUCUCUAGCAUUAGCAAGUGUGUGCUAUUUGCAGACUCCGUUCUAAGCCAUUUGCAGUUGAGGAUUCAACUCUAACAAUAACCCUGUGACAUAAAUAACUUAUUAUAAGUAAUUUGCCCAAGUAGCUGAGGGAAUGAAGGGCUCUAACCACAAAGCCCAUAAUCUAAGCCACUCAACUGUAUUCCUUUCCAUCAAAAAGGCAGAAAGUAGAAAACAAAGCCACUGGAGGGCCUGGUGGAGACACUGAUGGAGGUCCCCUCUGGGUGGGGGAGCAUCUCGGAAGGUUUAGAGAAAUCCCCCUUCUGACUGUGGGGUCUGAGGGGGACAGCACUGCCACAAUGAAGCUGUAACACACUUCACUGCACUCUGAAAAUCUGAGAUGGCUCUGGUGGGGGUGCUAAUUGUAGAUAUGGCCAGGAUAAAGUGGACCUGGGCAUGGCCUCUUGUUUUGAAAGUAUCUUGACAUCUAGGAGCACUGUGUGGUGAUAAGUCCAAACAGAAGACUGAGGGUCCAAGAGCAGUCUAAAGAAAAGAGAGUCAAAGUUUAUCCACAUGUCUGCCACCCACGCUGUUCAGACUGAUUCAAAAUGGUCAGUGCUGGUGCUGUAGACAGAAAGCCCUGGAAAGAGAGGAGAAGGAAGGAGGUAUUGUCCAGGGAAGAUAACACACACACACACACAAAUGAAAAAGAAAUGACUAUUCUCAUCUAUUCAUUUAUUAAUAUGUGUGUGUGAUAUUCAUGUUUUAGAUAUUAAUUGUGUCUUGACCCUAUGACAUUUUCUGUGUUCCCUGAAUUCAUUGAGUUUCCUUUAAGUCUCUUUCAUUUUGUUAAACACUUAGGCAUGACACUAGGGAGUAUGUCAGAUACUAUACACAGAGGUGUCUAUCCAACAGACAUGUUCUCUGCCCACUUGGAGCAGUACACUAUAGAGGUAGAUAGCAGUUAUCCGUGGCCAUCUCCAAGCAGGGUCGACUUGAAAAACCACAUCAGGCCAAGUGGGAUCUAAUUUUCCCAGGUGUAGGCACUCGGGAAAUGCUCUAGCUCUAAGCAUGCUCUAGCUUAUCUACAGCAUCAUUUCUGCUGAACAGCAGAAUAAUUUGAAUUUACAAAGUUCUCUCUUUUCUAGUCUAGCAUCUAGAAGAAACUAUGAGAAGCAGCAAAAUGCUACCCAAGACUAAGUUUCAGGAAACUUCUCCUGGCUCCUUCUUGCUCCCGGGGGAUUAAGUACUGGAGACAGCGAGGGCUCAGAAUGAUCCCUUCUCCUGGUUCUCACACCUUCUGGUAAUUUCCCACCGUGUGCCAUGCCAGUGUUGCCCAACACUAGGUAAUUUGGGGAAUGGGAGAUGUGAUAGAUAUUUCCUAUCCGGUGUGUGUGUGUGUGUGUGUGUAUGUGUGUGUGUGUGUGUGUGUGUGUGUUCUCUCAGAUUUUGAAAGAGAGGCACAUUUUGAGUGAAAUUGUUGAUGAAGCUCAUUUAGAGAGUAAUGGAAGCCUCUAUAGACAGCCACUAGAGUGAAGUAGCAUAUACAUUUCCUAUGCCUAGUUUAAUUUGUUUGGUUUUUGAGAUUUUAUUUAUUUUUAUUUUAUAUGUGUUGUUUUGCCUGCAUGUACGUCUGUACUCACAUGAGUACAGUGCCCGUAGCGGACACACGAAGGUAUCAGAGUUUUCUAACACUGGAAUUACAGAUGAUUGUGAGCUGCCAUGCGGGUGCUGAGAAUUGAACACAGGUCCUCUGGAAGAACAGUCAGUGCUCCUAACCACUGAGCCAUCCCUCCAGUCCCGAAGUCUAGUUUGUAAAGGCAGUAGCUUGACUUACAUGACAGGUCAUAAGCCAUAACUAUCCAGCCUGUCCAUUCUCAAAUGACUCAUAUUCAUAAAUGAUGUAAGGUUUUUUUUUUUUUUUUUGCUGCAAAGUUUUGGUGGUAAUCUGUUUUGCAACAAUACAUAAGCAACAUAGUACCUGCUCUCUGUACUUUGUGUAUCCUGCUCCUCCCAUAGGGCACUCACACAUGGUGUAAUUACCCAUUUACUUGUUUAUCUCAUCACACUAGCAGCUAAGGGAGAUCAUAUUUCCACUGCUUUUGUGCCCUGGCCACCUGGCACACGCCUGAUUGAUCCAUAGCAAGUAACCACAAUAUGUUGUUGGAUAAAUAGCUCUCAUCAGUGCAGAGCGUUGGGAUUGAGAAAACAUUCCCAUUUCUGUGCUCUCAUCUACUCCUCCGGCAACACCAAGAGGUGAGUAGUCACAGAAUGGGUCGCUGAGACAUAUUGCCUUGUGUGCAUAGCUCACCGUUGGUAACUGAUAAAAUCAAGACUCAAACCCAAUUCCUACUCUAUGCUCCUUCUGCUAAUCAACUGCUCUUCCCUUAGCUUGGAGAAAAACUGAGAGAUCAGUGUUACCCAGUCAUGAGCAGAGUUCCAUGGAAGAGAUACUGAGUAAGGACUGACCCAUCUAUGGAGCUAGAGAGUUGAACGGUUAGAAACACUAGCUGCUCUUCUGAAGUCCUGAGUUCAAUUCCCAGCACUCACACAGUGGCUGAUAACCAUCUACAACGGGGUCUUCUGCCCUCUUCAAGUGUGCAGACAUACAUGUAGACAAAACACCAAAACACCUCCACGCCUUACUCUCUCUCAAAUUCGUGACCUCUUUGUCUUUAAUUUUUGAUAUGUACAUAUUUCUAAAUUCAUAAAUACAACAAUCUCUGUCUGUAUAAUGUUAGUUGCAUGUAUAUGAUUUCAGGAGUGUCCAUUUGACAUUAGGUAACCAGUCAGCAUGCUCUUCCCUGGGGAAGACUGUUUCUCCUGGUCCCAGCAUUCCUUACUUGCCUCUAGUGCUUUGUCUAGAGUUGAGACCUUAUGAGAUUUGCCCCAUCCAUGUUACAUGUCUGUUGGGGUCAUCCUUGAUCACGACAUGUUUAAGCAGCCAUGCUGGUGAAACUUCAUAUUUUGCCUCCAUGUCUGUCUGUGUAUCAUGUGCAUACCUGGUGCCCAAAAAGGCCAGAAAAAGAUAGUGGAUCUCCUGGUACUGAAGUUAUAGACAGUUGUUAGCUGCUGUGUGGGUGCUGAGAAUCAAACCUGAGUUCUCUGGAAGAGAACCCAGUGUUCAUAACCUCUGAGCCAUCGCUCCAGCCCCCAAGCUGCUUCCUUUCCCCAACAUUAUAUGUUUCAGCUCCAAGAGUAAUUCCUGAUUACAGUAGAGGCACGUGGGACAAGAUGCCACAGUCUCAGACCCUACCUGUAUGGCUGUGUUCCGUCUCAUCUACAAGCUGUGUCCCUGUCACUGAUGCUUGGGACCAAGCUCAGUGCUUUAUAUUGUUCUGUUGGUUGAUGAAAGGAAAUACACUUUUGUGCCUGGAGACUGCUUCAGUUUUCAUAACUUUAAAAUGAGAAAAAUGGUUUUUAUGGUGAUCAAAUAAAAAGGUGGUGUUUCUUGUUUGUUUGUUUGUUUGCUCUUUUGUUUUAUUGAGACAAGGCCUCUCUGUGUAAACUAUGUAAUCCAGGAUGGCCGUGAACUCACAGAGACCCACAUGCCUCUGUCUCGGUGUGCUGGGAUUAAAGACAUGCACCCCUACCACCUGCCUGUUGUGUGUCUGUCUGUAUACAUGUGUAGCCGUGUGUGUGUGUGUGUGUGUGUGUGUGUGUGUGUGUAGGAUUCCUGGAGCGGGACUUAUAGGAAAUUGUGAUGGGUGUGGGGUAUUGAACUGUGGUCCUUCUCAGGAGCAGCAAGUAUGCUCAACCAUUGGACCAUCUCUCUGGCCCUCUGCUUCAUGCUUUUGAGAUAGGGUCUCUCACUGGCCUGGAACUCGCUACUGAACUCACUGGCCCAAGAGCCUCAGGGAUUGUCCUAUCUCUUUUUCUCCAGCACUGAGAUUAUACAUCUGUGCCACCAUGCCUGCCUUUGUGGUUGGGGGACGUGGGGAGGAGUUUUGUUGUUGUUUUCUAGGCAAUCACUUACCGAUUGCUUUGACCCCGGCCUGAGAAGGCGUAUUUAAAAUGCCUAUCACAGAGUUGGUGUUCCCAAGCAUAAACAUAUUCUUUUCCUCUUCUGGCUGUCUCCUAUGUCCCUCCUUUCAGGGCAAGAGCACACAGCCUUCUGUGAGCCUCUCUUCUCUAUCGUAGGCUGAAAGCUCAGCAGCAGGUGCAGAAACAUGAGAAAUGGAAACUCUGUAAGUUCCUGCACCGUCUCCAGCCCGAAAGGAGAUCUGCCACAGGAGUUUUCCAUUCUACAGCUGCACAGUGAGGCUAGAGACCUCUGCCCUUGGACGGCCGCUAUUCCGAGGAGUCAGACAUGGGGUAAGCCUCAGCUGCUCUGUGGGCCAUAAUGGAAUGUGGCUCAGGGCUGCCUGACGCCAUGUGGAGUUGGGUAAAUUUGGUCUGUUCUCAUCCCUUCGAGAGACCUUUCACCUUGAGGACUCAGGAACUAGAAAAACAUUCCAGGAGCCAACAGUUUCACAUUCUCCAGUGAGCCAUGGAGGAGACUGCUAUUGCCUGGAUAGCAGGACAAAACCAGGAACUGUAAGAAGAAUCCCAAUCUGAUCCCCGGAAAUAGAGUGAUGGUUCUUGUGGGCUAGAAGAUACGAGCUUCCUGCCAGCAAGAAGAUCUGGGCUCUGUCUUUGUGUGUACCAACCAAUAUAAUUAAAUUGAGCUGUCCAAGGGUUCCCAGGUGAGCAGUGGAGGUGCUCAGGCCAAAGACAAUCCUGAAUUUCACAGUCCUACUCGAUGACGUUUGCAGACAUUCACCAGGCAAGAACCUGGUAGGUCCAGGUAUUAUGGCAGGCCAUUGGCUUGGAUGUUUGAGAAGCUUGUGCUUAAACACUGCUCUCCCACCUACUAUGCUUAGGAAAGAUACUGCUAGAGCAGGAAGUUGGCUCCGUGGUUUAGAGCAUUUGCUGUUCUUGCGGAGGACCCAGACUUGAUGCCCAGUGCCCACAUGGUGUCUCAAAACCAUCUGUAACUCCAGUUUCACAGGAUCCAAGGCCCUCUUCUGGCCUUCACUGGCACCAAGGACACUCAUGAAGCACACAUGUAUAUGACAGCCAAACAUUCAUAUGUAUAAAAUAAAAUAAAUCUAAAGAUAAAUUUUUUAAAAAAGAUAUCUACCCAAUCCAGUCCUAAUUCUCUUAUCUGUAAAGAAACUGAGAGGAACGCCUGGUUUGCAAGUCAGACACCAAAAAAAAAAAAAAAACCCCACAUGAUAUUACCAAAUAUAAAGGGCAGUGUUCAGUUAGUCAUUUUAUUAUUACAUUUUGUUUGGAGGGAAGUAAAUAACAGUCACAGUCGGAGGGCAGAACAUAUAAAGUUCAACUGAACUCAUUUGCCUUGUUUGAAACAACCACUGGAGACGCUCCGAGUGCUAACAUAUUGAACAUGAAUGGCCUUUGGACUAGAGGAAGUCAUGCUUUUGCAACUGACAUGGAUGGAUGAGUAAGCAAAUAAUUUCAGGGAGAUGAAGGACAAAAGCAAGUGGAGAUGCUGCAGCAGAAGAGUAGGGGUGGUGCUUAGACAUCUGAAGGAGUCAGGGGAGGCCUUGCUGAAGAAGCAACUCUCGGAUUCAGAUGGCUGGGUUUUAAAAGACGACCAAGCAGGAAAUCACCAGCUGGAAUGGAUGUGGGGAAAUUGCUGUGAUACCUUUAAGAGCAUGAAGAAAACGCACAGAAGAAUGAAAGCUCGUUGUGGGGGGAGGGGCAAGGAGCAGCUGCAUAUCACUAACAUGAUGGACUCUGAUCAGCCAAAGAUGUUCCCAGAGGACCUAGCCUGCCUGCUCAAGAGUCAGGCUUUGCUCUGGAGGCAACAAGGGGGCUGGGCAGACAAACAAACAACAGCGUGAUUGAUGUGGGUGCAUACGUGCAUGCCUGUGCAUGUGCAUUUUGUUUUGAGACAGGAAUUCACUGUGCGUGUGAAAGUGUGUGUGUGAACAUGUGCAUGUGAGCGUGUGCGUGUGUGUGUGCCCAGGCUAGUCUUGAACUCUUGGCAGUCCACUGGUUUCAGCCUCCCUCCAAAGUGCUGAGAUUACCAGUUAUAUGACACCAUAUACAGGAAUUUUUUUUUUUCCAAGAAAAUAACUGAGUGUAGGACGGGUAUAAAACAGAAAGACUGGAGGCCAGGAGCCUUGAACCUGUGGAAAUAAGCAACCUAUCUAAAUAAUUCCUUAAUUCAGAAGUCAGACAGUGAUCUAGAAGACGGCUAGACCUGGCUCUCAGACUGAACUUGGCUAACUUGCUCCUUUAUGUACGUCUCUGAAGCCUGACUAUUGUGUAGAAGUUGUAUAGAGCAACUGGGAUGUAUAAGCAGGAAGAUAAAGCUACAAAGGGUCAGUUAGACUUGGGUUAGCCCAAGACUCACCCAAACCCAUGGUUUGCUACUGCUUUAAAGAACACUCAGCACUUUUUCUGCAUGUCCUCGUCCUGAGGUCUGUAUUCACAAGGAGAAUGAAAGCUUUAAUUGGAGACAGUCAUUCAUCCAUCCCCACCCCCACCCCCCAUGGGACAUACUGACAGAGCUUGAGUCUAGUCUCUGGUGGAUUUCAUGAGAGAUGGAAGACAAUUCUGCCCUCAGAGGAUUCAUGAAUAAAUUCAGCCAUAAAAUUGGUGGACAAGGCCUGGUGGUGUGAAUGUUAAUCCAACAAGAGGGGCGUGCCUACUACUACAGGAGCUUGGACGAGGAUAGAGAUGGUUGGAGCAACCUGAAGCAGAGAGCCCGUGCUAAACUCUGAAUGUCAGAGAGGGCACAGGGGAACCUGAAACUAAACCAACACUGUACACUCUCUGGGUUUGUAGGGCAGGGGGGCAGUGAUUAGAAUUCAGCAGAGCCAUCUUUGCACUCCUAAAGCUGGACUCAUACUCUGUCUGUUUCCAUUGCUACACCCAGCCUAAAGUAUGACUUUCCUCUGGCUAUGACACUAAAAUCCAGUCCUCCUCUCCCCUAAAUUAACAAGUAGGUGGCAUUGGUCUACCAUUAUCUCAUCUCCUCUGUUAGUUUCUGCUUCAAGGUACCCCAUUUCUGAUCUCAAGGAUUCCCCAACAGUGAGAAAUCAUGGCAGCGCCUCCUGGGCAGUGCCCAGGUUCCCAGUUCACUGUCAUUCAUCUCCCUGUCUCUUAUUAAUGUGUGGGCUCAGUUUCGAAUAGCUUUUACACAAUGAAAUGGGAGUGCCAUGUUCUCUCCACAUUGUGACUAUCACAUAGUUUAAGGUGUUUGUCCUAUGAGAGUAUCUAUGUUCAACAACUGUUUUUCUUCUCCUUAUCUUCAGUGAGGCACACAACUGUCACCAUUUUUCCCCUGAGCACGUACUCUCUUUAUGGUGACAUUCCUGUCUCUGUUGCCACCUAACUUUUAGCAGUCUCAUUAAUGAAGCUCUGUCAUGAUACUUGUCCUACGUGGAAUUUUAACCAUCUCUCUAUUUUGGCCUUUCCAUCUGACAAGAAUCUCUGUGGCCUAUUCAUUUUUCUUCUCUAGUUCCUACACUUGGUGACAUCAGUUAGUAUUUGACGAAUGAAUGAAUUUGUAAAAGAAUGGACAGAAGCCUUUGGAACAAGCUCUUAUCAAAAGAACAUUAUUCUAGAGGGAAGCACUUUAAGACAGAAGGUAAACAAGAGCUCCAGGAAGUCUCUGAAACUGACCAGAUUCACCAGCCCCCCCACCCACUCAAAGAAAGCAUGAAAGCCUACAGAGAGUCACUUUCGGAUAUCGCAAGCUGCAAAGAAAACUCUGACAAGCCCAGCUGCUGGAAAGAAGCCAAGAUGAUAGCACUACCUGGAAGAGGCUUAGCUCAACUGAUCCCACUUGGAAGGAACAAGCUUCAACCUGUUCAGGUACCUGUAAGCUGUGUUCCAGGUCCCCAACUUUUGUGAGCUGUCACCCAUGCUGGGGUGGCCUUUGGUGGUGCAGGUGUCUUUGAGUCAUUUCUUCUCCCAUAUGCUUCACUGGACAGUCCACUGGAUGAGCGCUCACACAUCAGAGUCUCAGAUGGAAGCCAGAUGUGAGGCAAGAGUCCUUAAGAAUCAUGGGAGCUUUUAAGGCAUCUUCAGAAAUAGCAGGGGUGUAACUUACUGCCAUAAUAAUACAAUAUGUAAUUAUAUAUUGUCUCUGUGCUUAUUUUAGAACUGAUGGGGCCUUUAGAAACCAUAUGAUCUAUGCCUAUUUAUUUUGCAGAUGAAACUAAAAUGGUUAAGUGGAUUGACUUAAAGUGACUCGGGAAAUCAACAGUAAAAUAAUGUUUUUAAGACAAAAUGCUGUUUGGGAUAGACAUGUGUGAAAUCUCCCACAUGAUAAUCUUUCUGUGUGUCCUGAAAUAUGAUCUUUGCUGCACUAUGCUGGGAAAAAAUGUCUUGUUUAGUCAAAUUUUCAGUGUUUAUUCGAGACUUUUAGUUGCUCUUAGCAGAAUGUGUUCCUCCCAGGACAGUGACCAUGGAAUCCAUGUUUUAUCGCAAGUGAAGCCAGCUCGAUUACUCUGGGAUCGUAGGCAGGAGUCCAACAUCCUAAGAAGUUGUCCUUGGUCUGUCCAAAGGCCCAGCCUACUGCUGUCCUCAACUCCACUUCUCCUUCUGCUUACAGAUCCUGAGGACUCGCUGCGUCUGUAACCUUGAGUAAACUACCAAAGGUUCAAAGGCUGUGGCAAUUAAGAAAUUGCCUGGUCUGUCAGGAUGGCUCAGCAGGAAAAAUUGCUUAUCUCUGAGAAUUGUGCCUCGAGUUCUGCUCCAGAGCUCAAAACGAAGGAGAAAUCAGUUUCCAGAAGUUGUUCCUGACCGCCACAUAAAUGUGCCUCACUCUCACACAUCAUAUAUGCACACACAAUAUAAUAAAGCAAUUUGUUUAAACAAUACA